UACAGAGGGUGCGAGCGUUAAUCGGAAUUACUGGGCGUAAAGGGUGCGUAGGCGGCUUUCUAAGUUGGAUGUGAAAACUCUGGGCUCAACCCAGAGACUGCAUCCAAAACUGGAGAGCUUGGGUUCUGGAGGGGAAAGCGGAAUUCCUGGUGGAGCGGUGAAAUGACGCAGAUAUCAGGAGGAACACCCGUAGCGAAGGCGGCACUCUGGGCCGAUACUGACACUGAGGAGCGAAAGCGUGGGGAGCGAACAGG
rnacentral:rRNA from 1 species